rnacentral:rRNA from 1 species
UACGUAGGUGGCAAGCGUUGUCCGGAUUUACUGGGCGUAAAGCGUGCGCAGGCGGUGAUGUAAGACAGGUGUGAAAUCCCCGGGCUUAACCUGGGAACUGCAUUUGUGACUGCAUCGCUGGAGUGCGGCAGAGGGGGAUGGAAUUCCGCGUGUAGCAGUGAAAUGCGUAGAUAUGCGGAGGAACACCGAUGGCGAAGGCAAUCCCCUGGGCCUGCACUGACGCUCAUGCACGAAAGCGUGGGGAGCAAACAGG